rnacentral:rRNA from 1 species
AUACGUAGGGGGCGAGCGUUGUCCGGAAUGAUUGGGCGUAAAGGGCGCGUAGGCGGCUUUGCAAGUCAGUAGUGGAAGUCCAUUUUUCAAGGAUGGAAGUGCUACAGAAACUGCGGAGCUUGAGUGCCGGAGAGGUUAUCGGAAUUCCCGGUGUAGCGGUGAAAUGCGUAGAGAUCGGGAGGAACACCAGUGGCGAAGGCGGGUAACUGGACUGCAACUGACGCUGAGGCGCGAAAGUGUGGGGAGCAAACAGGAUUAGAUACCCUGGUAGUCCACGCUGUAAACGAUGAAUACUAGGUGUAGGGGGUAUCGACCCCCUCUGUGCCGACGUUAACACAUUAAGUAUUCCGCCUGGGGAGUACGGCCGCAAGGCUGAAACUCAAAUGAAUUGACGGGG